ACUACGGGAGGCUGCAGUGAGGAAUAUUGGUCAAUGGGCGCGAGCCUGAACCAGCCAAGUAGCGUGAAGGAUGACUGCCCUACGGGUUGUAAACUUCUUUUAUAAAGGAAUAAAGUGAGGCACGUGUGCCUUUUUGUAUGUACUUUAUGAAUAAGGAUCGGCUAACUCCGUGCCAGCAGCCGCGGUAAUACGGAGGAUCCGAGCGUUAUCCGGAGUUAUUGGGUUUAAAGGGAGCGUAGAUGGGUUGUUAAGUCAGUUGUGAAAGUUUGAGGCUCAACCGUCAAAUUGAAAUUGAUACUGGCUGCCUUGAGUAGAGUUGAGGUAAGCGUAAUUCGU
rnacentral:rRNA from 1 species